rnacentral:lncRNA from 1 species
CACAGCUAAAUGCCGCCUGGAGAGCCCCUAAAGCCCGGAAAAUGAUCAACAGAUGACGGCGACACUUUAAGAUCGAGAGGCACCAUCAUCUCUGUAAUCUGUAAAGCUCGCGGCCGUGCGAUCAGGUGGCUGCAUCUCUGCAGGAACCGACACCAGCAACUCGGCGACAUGCUAAAAGCUGCACUUUAAAUGCCCAUUAGUGGUGUAUUUUAGGAAGUUGAGCGCUCACCUCCUCAUCGCUGGUGCAGAAUCCCGCCUCGCGCUGCCGCCUGUGUUUCUCCGCGAGCCCUAACAGCCGCGACAGACACGGAUCUUCUCUCAGCGUUGCUCCAACGUCGACGGGCCGCGGCCCUUUUCUGUCUUCAGCCCUCACCCGACCUACAUGAGAGCGUUUCUCCGUCCUCUGCAGGCUCCGGGCCGUCCAUGGCCGACCUGGGAAACGGCAGCGAACGGUGGCGGUGGUAUUCACGGUCGCUACAACAGCCGAGGCUGCUAAUCCGCCUCCUGCUGCCGCCAUUAUUACAUACCACAACAACAACUACGGCGCUGAGCUCUCGAGAGGAACAAGAUGGAAAGGCGCGAGAUAGCGGAGGAAACGAACGGCAUUAUGGGAGAUGGAGUUUUAUUUUCUUUUUCAAGCGUCAUUCUGUAAAUAUUUCUCAAGGGAAGACACUAAUAGUUAUC